CUAGAUAAAGCCAAAACCCGGGUAACCGGGUGACGGAAAGCCACGGGCCCUGCGAAUGGGCAGCCGGGUUGCCUGGG
rfam:Geobacter uraniireducens Rf4, complete genome.